UCUCAGAUCGCAUGGCCUUGCGCCGGCGACGGUUCAUUCAAAUUUCUGCCCUAUCAACUUUCGAUGGUAAGGUAUUGGCUUACCAUGGUUUCAACGGGUAACGGGGAAUUAGGGUUCGAUUCCGGAGAGGGAGCCUGAGAAACGGCUACCACAUCCAAGGAAGGCAGCAGGCGCGCAAAUUACCCAAUCCCGACACGGGGAGGUAGUGACAAUAAAUACUGAUACAGGGCUCUUUUGGGUCUUGUAAUUGGAAUGAGUACAAUUUAAACCUCUUAACGAGGAACAAUUGGAGGGCAAGUCUGGUGCCAGCAGCCGCGGUAAUUCCAGCUCCAAUAGCGUAUAUUAAAGUUGUUGCAGUUAAAAAGCUCGUAGUUGAACCUUUGGCCUGGCUGGCAGGUCCGCCUCACCGCGUGCACUUGUCCGGCCGGGCCUUUUCUUCUGGAGAACCGCAUGCCCUUCACUGGGUGUGUUGGGGACCAGGACUUUUACUUUGAAAAAAUUAGAGUGUUCAAAGCAGGCCUUUGCUCGAAUACGUUAGCAUGGAAUAAUAGAAUAGGACGUGCGGUCCUAUUUUGUUGGUUUCUAGGACCGCCGUAAUGAUUAAUAGGGACAGUCGGGGGCAUCAGUAUUCAAUUGUCAGAGGUGAAAUUCUUGGAUUUAUUGAAGACUAACUACUGCGAAAGCAUUUGCCAAGGAUGUUUUCAUUAAUCAGUGAACGAAAGUUAGGGGAUCGAAGACGAUCAGAUACCGUCGUAGUCUUAACCAUAAACUAUGCCGACUAGGGAUCGGGCGGUGUUAUUAUUUUGACUCGCUCGGCACCUUACGAGA
rnacentral:rRNA from 1 species